rnacentral:rRNA from 1 species
ACGGGGGUUGCAAGCGUUGUCCGGAAUUACUAGGCGUAAAGGGCAGGUAGGCGGAUCUAUAAGUUUAAUGUUUAAGGCAACGGCUCACCCGUUGUACGGCAUUAGAUACUGUAGAUCUGGAAUACGGUUGGGGAAGACAGAAUUCCUGGUGUAGCGGUGGAAUGCGCAGAGAUCAGGAGGAAUACCGAAGGCGAAGGCAGUCUUCUAAGCCGUUAUUGACGCUAAACUGCGAAGGUGUGGGUAUCAAACAG